rnacentral:rRNA from 1 species
GACGAACGCUGGCGGCGUGCUUAACACAUGCAAGUCGAACGAAGUGGCGAACGGGUGAGUAACGCGUAAUCAACCUGCCCUUCAGGGGGGGACAACAGUUGGAAACGACUGCUAAUGCCGCAUACUGAAGCAGGGGAUUGCGUCUGAUUAGCUGGUUGGGGGGGUAACGGCCCACCAAGGCGAUGAUCAGUAGCCGGUCUGAGAGGAUGAACGGCCACAUUUGGACCGAUGCACGGCCCAGACUCCUAAGGGAGGCAGCAGGGGGGAAUCUUUCGCAAUGGAGGAAAGUCUGACGGAGCAAAGCCGCGGGAGUGAUGACGGCAUUCGGGUUGGAAAGCUCUGUUAAUCGGGACGCGGUACCGGAAGAGAAAGCAACGGCUAACUACGUGCCAGCAGCCGCGGUAAUAC